GGGGGACAACAUUCCGAAAGGGAUGCUAAUACCGCAUACGUCCUACGGGAGAAAGCAGGGGAUCUUCGGACCUUGCGCUAAUAGAUGAGCCUAAGUCGGAUUAGCUAGUUGGUGGGGUAAAGGCCUACCAAGGCGACGAUCUGUAGCGGGUCUGAGAGGAUGAUCCGCCACACUGGGACUGAGACACGGCCCAGACUCCUACGGGAGGCAGCAGUGGGGAAUAUUGGACAAUGGGGGGAACCCUGAUCCAGCCCAUGCCGCGUGUGUGAAGAAGGCCUUUUGGUUGUAAAGCACUUUAAGCGAGGAGGAGGCGCUUCUAGGAUAAUACCCUAGAUGCGUGGACGUUACUCGCAGAAUAAGCACCGGCUAACUCUGUGCCAGCAGCCGCGGUAAUACAGAGGGUGCGAGCGUUAAUCGGAUUUACUGGGCGUAAAGCGCGCGUAGGUGGCUAAUUAAGUCAAAUGUGAAAUCCCCGAGCUUAACUUGGGAAUUGCAUUCGAUACUGGUUAGCUAGAGUAUGGGAGAGGAUGGUAGAAUUCCAGGUGUAGCGGUGAAAUGCGUAGAGAUCUGGAGGAAUACCGAUGGCGAAGGCAGCCAUCUGGCCUAAUACUGACACUGAGGUGCGAAAGCAUGGGGAGCAAACAGGAUUAGAUACCCUGGUAGUCCAUGCCGUAAACGAUGUCUACUAGCCGUUGGGGCCUUUGAGGCUUUAGUGGCGCAGCUAACGCGAUAAGUAGACCGCCUGGGGAGUACGGUCGCAAGACUAAAACUCAAAUGAAUUUGACGGGGGCCCGCACCAAGCGGUGGAGCAUGUGGUUUAAUUCGAUGCAACGCGAAGAACCUUACCUGGCCUUGACAUACAGAGAACUUUCCA
rnacentral:rRNA from 1 species